rfam:Devosia limi DSM 17137 NODE_89, whole genome shotgun sequence.
UCCGCGGUAGCUCAGUGGUAGAGCAAUCGGCUGUUAACCGAUUGGUCGUAGGUUCGAAUCCUACCCGCGGAG